rnacentral:rRNA from 1 species
GGCAAAUGAUACCGGGGCUAAACGUAUCACCGAAGCUGUGGAUUGACAUCUUUGAUGUCAGUGGUAGGAG